UAGGGAAUCUUCCACAAUAGGCGAAAGCCUGAUGGAGCAACGCCGCGUGUGUGAUGAAGGGUUUCGGCUCGUAAAACACUGUUGUAAGAGAAGAAUGACAUUGAGAGUAACUGUUCAAUGUGUGACGGUAUCUUACCAGAAAGGAACGGCUAAAUACGCGCCAG
rnacentral:rRNA from 1 species